rnacentral:misc_RNA from 1 species
GCGUGUGGAGUUACGUCGGGGAAAUUGAUGGGUUCUGUUCAGGUCAGUGUGGAUUUGAGUGGGACGCAUUCCAAGGGGAGAGUGUUUCAGAAUGGGUGGAUGAAAUUGGGGUCGAUGUCGACGGCGGAGAAGGAUAAACCGGUGGCGAUGUUGCAUAUAGCGGUUCGAGCUGAACCGGAUCCACGGUUUGUUUUUCAGUUUGGUGGUGAACCGGAGUGUAGCCCGGUGGUUUUUCAGAUUCAGGGGAAUAUUAGACAACCGGUUUUUAGCUGCAAAUUUAGUGCUGAUCGGAAUAAUCGCUCACGAUCUCUACCAACUGAUUUCAACUUAAACAAUAGAGGAUGGAUGAGAACAUUUUCUGGAGAAAGGGACAGAACAGGAAGGGAAAGAAAAGGAUGGAUGAUAAUAAUCUAUGAUCUUUCAGGCUCAGCUGUUGCAGCUGCUUCAAUGAUCACACCAUUUGUCCCCUCUCCUGGUUCGGACCGCGUCUCACGAUCAAAUGCCGGAGCAUGGCUCAUCCUCCGGCCUAAUGGCGCCUGUGUUAGCAGCUGGAAACACUGGGGUCGACUCCAG